rnacentral:misc_RNA from 1 species
AAAUUGUGUCACGCAACAGGAAAGAUACGCAAAAAAAGAAUAAUUCAUCUGUUUCUCAUUUCCCGCCACACUCUUUUCUUUCUUUGUUUUUCUUCGCUUCCCGCUCCCUUCACUACGCCCAAAUCCCCGAGCCGCACGCUCCGUCGCAGCACUGAGCGAACACGCACGCAGACAUUUGAACAUUUACUAGACGAGGAAGAAGAAAAGGAGAGGUACAAGUACGUCCCACGCUCUUUUCUUUUUUUUUUUGCUGUUGUUUUGGUUUCUUUCCGUUUUUGUUGUUUAUGUGUUUCUCUUUUUUUUUGCUUUCUUGUUCCUUCAAAUUGUCUCGUGCCUUGACUUCCUCUUGUCUCUCCCCCUCUCCCAACUCCCCGCUUCUCCGUUUCCAGACGUCUGCUCUGUCGCCUAGCUUCCGCGUUCUAAUUUAUGCUUGGUUUAAUUUCGUUUUGAACCGGGCUGUGCUUGUUUGCCUCCACCUUUCUGUCUGAAGCUCCCCCCCCCCCACCCACCCAGCCACCCCCCCACACACACACAUACACGCAUACUAGUCGUCUUCUCAUCUCUUCGCUUUCUCGUCUCGCUCUACCUCUGUCAACACCCUUUUUUCUUGCGCACUUCUCCUGUGUGAAGUGCCCUGCGCUCUUUCCUUCGCUUUAUUCUCAUCCGUUGGCCCAUUCUCCCCGCAAGCUUUCCACCAGCCGCUGAUCGAAAGAAAGGCAGCAGCACGGUAGAAACUACAUCAAAACACGACCUUGAGCGACGCCAUCGGCUUUCACUUGCUCAUCAUCCGAUUCUUGAACGAUCGGCCAUGUCGCAACAGCAGUGGACACCCGAUCAGCGUCGCCAGCAGAUCGCGGAGAUGCUGCGCAACAAGGGUGUCAUUUGCAGGGACUUUCUUUUUACCGGCCGCUGUUCCCGUUCGCCGACGUGUCCGUACAUGCACGUGGCGAACGGGGAGACGCGGCCGGUGCCGUGGAGCGUGUGCACGUUCUUCACACAAGGCAAGUGCCUUCGUGAUGGCUGCAGUUUCUUUCACGGGACUCAGGCUCAGCUAGAGGAACUGCACGCGUCCGGGGCGCCCGUGUACCGCCCGCAGGACUACAUGAAGGUCGCGGUGCCUCCCGCCGAGUACCUUAAUCCGGAUGGCAGCAUUGCCACUCACCUCUCCAUAGCCGCGCUACCCAUGACGCCUGCGCUACAUGUUGUGCACGGACCCACCGUGCCGCACGAAAACGCCGUCAACUCCCUUCACCCCGUUUUGGUCAUGCAGCCGAACUCGCAAGCUAUCGCACCAACCAUGUUCGCCUCUCAGGGCCAUACAGCGCAACCCACGCCGUCGCACUUCGCUUUCUACGCUAAUGCUCCCAUCGCAUCGCAGAUGCCCACCCACUCCGCCGCCACUGUGCUUCAGCCGGCUCUGCACGCUGUGCAACCGACGGCAUUCUACCAAGCCACAAACGCGCCGCUUACGCAGCCACAACAGCACUUCGCACCUGUUCCGCAGCUCAACACGCCUCAGCAGCACCAGCCCACUCAACAGGCACUUGGCAGUCAUGUUUAUUUCCAUAUCCAGCCCCACUAGGUGCGACUCUAAAGUGGGCGCCCCGGGCACACUUCACUUUUACGAUGUGCUAAGCAAAUAACGGGCAAUGCGAAGGCGUGACACUGGACGCUUCCGUGCAGCUUGUGUGGACGUACCGCAAUUCGGCAGCUGUUCGCAAGCAGGCUCUUCUGUGCUCUCCUCCUCUGCUCGCGUUCUGUGCGCUACGCCCUCUGCUUCUCUUGCUUCCCUCGCUCCCGGACCCUUCCCUGAUGACUGGGGGCACCAAAGCGACCCAUGAGGGCUCCAUAACCAUUUCGGUGGGAGGAAGCCAGGGAGCCCCUCCCUACCCCUGUCAAUGCACAGCCACCUCUGGUGGUGUGACAGGGCCGAGCGUCUGCGACGUGGGGAGGUCAGCGCGAUGCGCCCCUACUGACGUCGGCGAUGCGGUCCUGGGUGGCGUUGCGUCGGAGAGACCUGCGACAAUGCACAGGUUUGUACCACCUAUAUGAUAGGCAAUUCAUCAGCGUAACUCGAGCGUGUAUCCUGCCCGGCCCUCACACUGCCCACUGGUGGUGGGGCGAAUCUGAGCCGCCCCGAGGCUGAUGCGCCAGGCGACUACCGGCGUAAUAAGGCCGGAUGUGGGUAGAGUUUGAGGCAGAGCCAGUGCGCCGACGCAGUCGUCGGCGCACUGCUUUAAUCUGUGUCUACCGCUGCUUUGCGCCACGGGCCUGGGUCUGUGACAUGCCGGGGCCGAGUGGAACUUAACUUCUGUUCUAGGGUCGAGUGUACACGUUGAGCAAAAACAAAGAAACAUCUUUCAAUCUCUUUUUUUCCGUGUGUGUCUGUGCUUAAUUCGUUGUUCUCUUACUUCCGUAAGCUUCUGGUUUAAAUACAAGUCUUACUUUUCUUUUUCCUUUCUCCCUCGGUCUCGUUGUUUUGUCUCUUCCGCGUGCGCGUUUUGCGUUUUUUUCUGUGUGCUUCCUCCCCGCGCUUCUUUUUUUUUGUCUUGAUUUGGCGCGCCACAUGCGUUUGUUUUGUGUGUGCGCCUGCCGUCAAAUGUGUAUGUGCCCACGUUACAUGCUCUCCUGUUCUCUCCACCACCACCACUGCCGCCUCCCUCCCUCCCUCCCUCCGCGACUGCCUCCUUUUAAGUUUUUGCUCUGUUUUGUUUCUUUUCUUGUUUUCUUCACUAUGUUUUUCCUCCGCCUUCCCCCCCCCUGUCACUCUUCUUUCGCUUCCACAGGCCCGCCCAACCCAACCCAUCGUGCUCUCGCUCAUUGUCCGUCUUUUUGACGGGUUUAAGCGCGGUUUACAGGACUGUGGAAAGAAAAAGGAAAACAGGAAUGAGAGGGUCGAAUCAGCGCCGCUUGCUUUCCUCUUUUUGUUGUUGUUAUCGGCUCUCCCCCACCGUGCUUUAAAUCAGGAAAGGCAGAAAUCGAAGACGUCGCUGCCUAUAGAGCUUUUUUAGCAAGCGAUAAAAAGACAAAGAAAAAAAGCGUGACCACGAGUUGAGUAAAGCCGGACAGCCAGCACGCAACGCGGUUGAUGCGCAGCCGCUACCAUGGCUGCGACUUGUUUGCUUCCGUUUGUUGUUGUGAACGUGCCUCACACCGAUCGCUACGCGAGUAUAUAGCGUUGCGCAGUCCGGUUUUUUUUUUUGCCGGGGUCACCACAGAAGAAGCGCAUGUGGGCGACUCCUUUUUUCUCCCUCUUUUCUGAGCACCUCCUAAUGGCCGUCUCCGACGUUGCAAAACCUUUCCGCUGCUCUUUUCUCAGCACGUUCAGCGAUGGUACUGCGCCUGCGAAUAUUUGGAGAGCAGUGUGUCAUGAUCUGUGCAAACAUCCUUGAGCGUGUCCUUGCUGAACAGACUUUUGGUUGAGCUUGCGCGCGAUAAUGGCCGAGGUGAGAGACACAGCGAAGGAGGGCUGCGCCGUCUCGGAGACGGCAACGCCUAAGGUAGUUGGGCUGCAGAUUUACGCCCCAGUGAUAACGACAGAAGUUCUUUGCGUUUGUAAUGAUACGAGUGUCUCUUUUAUUGUUGUCGUUUCUGCCCCUCUGGGCUGUUUUUUUUUUCUUGGAGCAUCUCAUACUCGCCUUAGACGUGUGUCUACACAGAGGCACACACUGCAAACUACGGCGAGUGGAAGUCGCGGGUGCGAGUGCAUUACGUCUCUGAAUUCAGUUCAUCCUUCGCUCGUGGUUUGAUAGGGACCCGCAGGAGCCCAUCGAUGAAUCUGAGCGUGUUGUUGCCUUCCCUUUCCUCCCGCUGAAGCACAUGAACAUGCUAACUUGAGGAAGGAAUCGCUGACGCUUUCAGGUUCCAUCUCUCACAUUUUUCUUCCCGUUUUCUCUCUCUUUGUCGUGUUCCGCGUUUCGCUUCCUCAACAAACCGGUACUUUCAGCUGAUGAGGCUCUGCUGCUCAGCCUGGAGGUUGUUUUGUUUCGUUCUCCCUCUCCUCUUUUUUUCUCUCACAAAUGACCUCUCCCUUUCUUGCUCUCUUCCAUUUUGCCUUUUGCUUGAUGUGCCGGUUUGUUCUCCGUCUGAGAGUCAACCACUCGGUUUUCUUCUGUGUGUCGCGGAGUUGCUUUCUUUGUCUCUCACAACCUGUGUUGCGCUAGGGCUCGUCAGCUACCAUGACGUCGUUUUCGCAAAGGUCCAGGGAAGAACAGAAGAAAGAUGUCCUCAGCUACAUUCUUACGCACGCACGUGGGCCUGUAUGCUCACCGCCACGCACAAACGAAUGCACAACCGCACAUACCACCUCAUCCUCGCGGCGUCACAUCCACACGCAGAGUGGACGCAUUAAUUUGUACUUCCAAUGCGUGCAACUGUGCGUGUACGUAUGUGUUUGCGGUCCCCUCUUUCGCUUUCAUCACGCGGCUGUGAUUGUGAUUGUGUGUGCUGCUGCUGCUGCUGCUGUGGGGCUUUUUUAAAUAUCCUUUCCGCCCUUUGUUUUACCUGUUUUUCUUUGCUUGUUUGUUUGUUCCUUUCGCUUCUCAGUAUGAGCGUUCUUCCAAGCCGUUCUCUGUCUUUUCUGUGCUCCGUGUUUUUCUCCGUUGUAUGUUCUUUAUUUUUUCCCUUCGUUGGUGGCGUGCUGCUGUUCUCCUUUCGUCUUCCCUCUCCCCUUUCCUUUUCCCUCUCUUUUUUCUUUUCUCGUUUCGUAUGCGUAUCACAGUAGACCGCUGGGAAGCUUCACCGUGCAGCCUCUCUCUCUAUGCUCGCGUUACCGUGCCUGCCUCACCGGCACUCGUCUUGGUAUCAACUUGCGGUUCGGCAAAGAGGGACCCUCACCUCUCUCUGUUCUCCUCGCCCCAUGUCCCGUUGAGAUACGCGCCAUGGUGGGUUUUUUCAUCAAACAGUGUAUGGCGCGUGUGUCCCCUUCUUACAACAGCAACGCAAUCGAAGGGCGUCGUUUUUUACGCUGGGUGUGUUGCCUUUGCGUUCAUUUCGCCCCCCCCCUCCUUGCUCUCCUUCUCUCACUGUGUUUGGUGUCCCUGUGAACGCGUAGGUGUGACGCUAUUCUCUUGGCGCACAUGGAAUGAGCACACAUUAGCAAAAAGAGGCCCUUUUUUGUGUGUGUGCGCGCGUGAGUGUGUGUAUGUAUAUGUGCGUGUGCCCGUCUGUAGGCACUUUACUGAGC